GUAGAAGUAAAUCCUUGGCAUCCACAGAGAUGCCAUGUGGCACUCGCCAGGCGUGCGGUAAAGCAAAAUUCUACUUUAUGCCGUCAGAGACGUAUCUGCAAUGUGAAGAUGAAUCUGACGGCUCAGAUAUAAUGAGUCCACAAAAUGCUAUAAACACCCA